GACGAACGCUGGCGGCGUGCUUAACACAUGCAAGUCGAACGGAGUGGCGAACGGGUGAGUAACACGUGGGUGACCUGCCCUGCACUUCGGGAUAAUCCUGGGAAACUGGGUCUAAUACCGGAUAGUGUGGGAUGGGCCCGCGGCCUAUCAGCUUGUUGGUGGGGUAAUGGCCUACCAAGGCGGCGACGGGGAGCCGGCCUGGGAGGGUGGACGGCCUCCUUGGGACUGAGGAACGGCCCAGACGCCAACGGGAGGCAGCAGUGGGGAAUAUUGCACAAUGGGCGGAAGCCUGAUGAAGCGACGCCGCGGGGGGGAUGACGGCCUUCCGGUUGUAAACUCCUUUCACCAUCGACGCGGUAGAUGGAGAAGAAGCACCGGCUAACUACGUGCCAGCAGCCGCGGUAAUUC
rnacentral:rRNA from 1 species